rnacentral:lncRNA from 1 species
GGGGAAGGGAAGAAAGGGAGCAGGAAAGAGGAAAUAGGAGCGGGGAGUGUCUAUAGGUACAGAUUGGGUGAUGGGGAAGGAAGAAAAGGAGCAGGAAAGAGGAAAUGGGAGCGAGGAGUGUCCAUAGGUACAGAUUGGGUGAUGGGGAAGGGAAGAAGGGCAGCAGGAAAGAUAGGAAAUAGGAGCAAGGAGUCUAUAGGUACAGAUUGGGUGAUGGGGAAGGGAAGAAGGGCAGCAGGAAAGAUAGGAAAUAGGAGCAAGGAGUCUAUAGGUACAGAUUGGGUGAUGGGGAAGGGAAGAAGGGCAGCAGGAAAGAUAGGAAAUGGGAGUGAGGAGUCCAUAGGUACAGAUUGGGUGAUGGGGAAGGGAAGAAAGGGAGCAGGAGAGA